rnacentral:rRNA from 1 species
AGAGCGAACGCUGGCGGCAUGCUUAACACAUGCAAGUCGCACGGGUAGGGGAAACCCUGUCAGUGGCGGACGGGUGAGUAACGCGUAGGUAUCUAUCCUUGGGUGGGGGACAACGGCUGGAAACGGCUGCUAAUACCGCAUGAUGACCGAGGUCUAAAGGCGCAAGUCGCCUGGGGAGGAGCCUGCGUACGAUUAGCUUGUUGGUGGGGUAAAGCCUACCAAGGCUACGAUCGUUAGCUGGUCUGAGAGGAUGAUCAGCCACAUUGGGACUGAGACACGGCCCAAACUCCUACGGGAGGCAGCAGUGGGGAAUAUUGGACAAUGGGCGCAAGCCUGAUCCAGCAAUGCCGCGUGUGUGAAGAAGGUCUUCGGAUUGUAAAGCACUUUCGACGGGGACGAUGAUGACGGUACCCGUAGAAGAGCCCCGGCUAACUUCGCGCCAGCAGCCGC